GUAGGCAUAGUUUAACAAAAACAUUAGAUUGUGAAUCUAACAAUAAAAGCUAAAACCUUUUUGCUUACC
rnacentral:tRNA from 2 species